rnacentral:rRNA from 1 species
GACGAACGCUGGCGGCGUGCUUAACACAUGCAAGUCGAGCGGAGCGGCGAAAGGGUGAGUAACGCGUGAGUAACUGCCCCCCUCUCUGGGAUACCAGUUGGAAACGGCUGCUAAUACCGGAUAGUGGGGGAUGGCUCGGGUCUUAUCAGCUUGUUGGGGGGGGAGUGGCCUACCAAGGCGACGACGGAUAGCCGGCCUGAGAGGGCGACCGGCCACAAGGGGCUACGAUACGGCCCAAAAUCCUACGGUAGGCAGCAGUGGGGAGUAUGGCACAAUGGGGGAAACCCUGAUGCAGAAGCGCCGGGUUCGGGAUGAGGGCCUUCGGGUUGUAAACCGCUUUCAGACAUGACGCGGUAGUGGCAGAAGAAGCACCGGCUAACUACGUGCCAGCCGCGGCGGUAAUAC